UUCUAUUCACAAAAUACAACCAAUGGUGCCGCAAUGUUAAAAAGUACUUGUGAAAAUAAUCCUCCGGGCUCUAUUUGCGAUGGUCUGCCGAUUAGAACAGUGCUCCACAGUGCUAGCUGGCAUCUUAUCUGCUGCCAUGCAACGAAACUAGGAGUACGACCGGUUUAAGAUGGCCGCCGUAUUUCUCAGUCCCCAGCGGCCAAUAGGGCAUCUAGUCUUCUAUAUGAUAUCUAUGGUUCUGAUGGCUGUCUGCGAGAUCUUGCGUAUCACACGAGGAAGCUUCGGAGAAAGAAGAGAAACCUUCAAUUUAGAAAAGUGAUGGUGAUCUUGUCAAUGCUGAGAUUUUCAUGCAUCAACAGCCACUACAUCUGGAUCAGGAUUGAACAAGAAACAGACAGCAAGGGUUGUCAGGUCAGAAACAGAAUGACACACAAACACAAGAAACUUCACAGGCAGAUCACCAUGCAAUUUGAAGAAGUGUGAUAAAAUGCACAGUGUGAUAAAGUCGUGUGUCUUUCCAGAUGCCCAAAUCAUUCCCCCUUAAAAGAUGAGCCUGAAGAGGAGAUUUGGGAAGAUGAUGUUUCAUAAGUCUUUGUUUUGCCAGAUCACCAGUGGUAAGUUUGUAAAACUUAUAUUAAAAAUAGGAUUAGAACAUCUCCUAAUCAAGUUUUUGAUCAGGUAGGGAUGUCUGCUAACAAGAUGCCUUGCUGGUUUGGGCGAGUUUGAAGUCCCACACAGACAGUCCAGAGGUUCUGAAGUGCACGUAGGAGUUUUCCUUUACUCAAAACAUGUUCUGAGGGCAGAAAGAAUAUGAUUGGUUCACAAAAACGACCGAUCAAAAUGCUCGUUACUGGUUUAAGCCCUCAGCGGAGCCUUCAAGGCAGCUUCUGCAGUGAAGCAGUUCGAGCUCACCGUUGGUAAGAUGAGUAGCGCAGAUAUGGUAAGAUAGGAAUGAGAAUGUUUCGAGCAUUUAAGUAAUGUGUUUUCACGUGCCCGUGGCACGACUUUCUUUUCCGUGCCAGUUUCACGUAUUGGUUAUUCAAUUGUUUUUUCUAUUUUCUUACCAUUGUCGCUUGGGAUUGGGGUUAGAACAACUUUCUGUUUCAUAAAAUGACAUCCUCACCCUAACCCAACUCUAACCCCAAGCAAGAACAGUUUAAAUUUCUGACAAAUAAACGUAUAAACCAACUUUAUCCUCGCGGGAAAACAGUUUAAAAAUCUGACGAAAACCACAAAUCUAACCCCAAUACGUGAAACUGGCACGAAAAAGAAAGUUGUGCCACGGACAUGUGAAAACACGGAAACACAUCACUUAAAUGCUCGAAACAUUUCAAGCUGAUUUCAAAAACAGUCUCAUUUCUAUCUCACCAUAUCUGCGCUACUCAUCUGACCAACGGUGAGCUCGAACUGCUUCACUGCAGAAGCUGCCUUGAAGGCUACGGUACUUCUGGCAUCCAUCUAAGCUUUCAUUGUUAAGGGACUGCACAAGAGACUGUUAGAUCUACACAUAAAGCAACCAGUCAAUAUUUUUUGUUUUCUUAUGCAUCUCAUUUGGGGGUGUUGAAAAUAUAAGGUCGAUAUCACUUAAGCAUUCAGUAUUGGAUUCAUUUGUAACCAAACGAUCAGAAGCACCAUUCACUUCCAUAGUAUUCUUUUAUCCUACUAUGUAAGUCAAUGGUGCUUCUGGUCAGUUUGGUUACAGACAUUCCUCAAAAAAUCUUCGUGUUCAUCAGGACCCUUUAAUGUGUAGAAACAUCUCAGCAACCAUCAAGAAAAAAUGGAGGCAACGGAGCUAAAUUGCAGAUGUUGUUGCAAAGGGUCUGAAUAUGUAUAAUAUGCUGUCAUCAUAUUUUAAGUACAUCAUGAGCCAGAAUGGAUGGAUGGUGGUGGCCAUAAGAAGACAACUACACCAACAACAAAAUUCAUAUUUGCAGAUUCAGAUGAAUAAAAUGACUUUUAAA